rnacentral:rRNA from 1 species
CAAUGGGCGCGAGCCUGAACCAGCCAAGUCGCGUGAGGGAUGACGGUCCUACGGAUUGUAAACCUCUUUAGGCGGGGAGUAAUGUGCUCUACGAGUAGAGUAGUGAGAGUACCCGCAGAAUAAGCAUCGGCUAACUCCGUGCCAGCAGCCGCGGUAAUACGGAGGAUGCGAGCGUUAUCCGGAUUUAUUGGGUUUAAAGGGUGCGCAGGCUGUGCAUCAAGUCAGCGGUAAAAUCUCGGGGCUCAACCCCGUUUAGCCGUUGAAACUGGUGUACUGGAGUGUGCGCGAGGAAGGCGGAAUGCGCGGUGUAGCGGUGAAAUGCAUAGAUAUUGCGCAGAACUCCGAUUGCGAAGGCAGCUUUCCAGUGCAUGACUGACGCUGAGGCACGAAAGCGUGGGUAUCGAACAGGAUUAGAUACCCUGGUAGUCCACGCAGUAAACGAUGAAUACUAUCUUUCCGUCGCGAUUGAGCGGGGGGAGGACAAGCGAAAGCGUUAAGUAUUCCACCUGGGGAGUACGCCGGCAACGGUGAAACUCAAAGGAAUUGACGGGGGCCCGCACAAG